rnacentral:rRNA from 1 species
UACGUAGGGGGCAAGCGUUGUCCGGAUUUAUUGGGCGUAAAGAGCGUGUAGGCGGCCAUACAGGUCAGCUGUGAAAACUCGAGGCUCAACCUCGAGACGUCGGUUGAAACCGUAUGGCUAGAGUCCGGAAGAGGAGAGUGGAAUUCCCGGUGUAGCGGUGAAAUGCGCAGAUAUCGGGAAGAACACCCGUGGCGAAGGCGGCUCUCUGGGCCUUACCUGACGCUCAGGUGCGAAAGCUAGGGGAGCGAACAGG